GAAUCUGACGGCUCACAAAUUGUGAUUCUUAUGUAAGGAAAAAAAAAACCGACAGGGCCCAGCCCCCGCACGUAAUCCUCUCCCCUAAUCACUCCCGAUUUCAAUCGCAGCAGCACUGGCCCGAUCUCCCUCACCUCGCCUAGAUCCCUUCUCCCCCUACCUCGCAUGCAGCUUUGUCCUGCUCCCCACGCCGUCGAGCAACACGGCCACCCAACCAGCCAGCUCCGCCACUGCCAGCUCCGCCCCUGCCACUGAUCAAGCCUCCCCAUCCUCAUCUUGAUUGGUACUUUUUCAGGUCAAAUCAGGUGCGUCAGCGGCUGGAUCGGCUACCGGAGUAGCACCGGCCGGCCAGAGAACCUAAAGUGGAUUUAAAAAUCCGUCCCCACCAACCCAAUUACAAGCGCCCCAUAUUGAAAUAAAAGGAAUUUCAUGAUGUAAAAAACAUGACAUGUAGUACUCUUUGGCACGGCUACUCAUAUCAAGAUAAUUGAUUAUGCUGGAACUGCUUCCUAACAAGUUAUAAGGAUAAGUGGGGGAGCACGACAGGUUUGGUGGAGAUUAACCUAAUCUCAAAAGAGGACAUGUAACACGAGUUAGUAUAAUGUUGAUCUUAAUGCCAUCAAGAAUUGUGUCAACAUAUAGGAAUGUGAAUACCGUGAUAGCACAAAACCAUUGUUUAGAUUAAAAUAAAAUAAGAAAGUGUGCAUGAAAUUUUCUUGCAAACUUAAGUUAGUUGGUUAAGAUUAGCAAGUAAAAUUAGUUGUGUGAAUAUGUCUCAAUAUCCAUUGAUAUAUAUGAAUUUAUUAGUUUUCCAUUA